GUACGGGAGGCAGCAGUGAGGAAUAUUGGGCAAUGGGCGCAAGCCUGACCCAGCGACGCCGCGUGGGCGACGAAGGUCUUCGGAUCGUAAAGCCCUUUUCUACCGGACGAGCGAGGACGGUACGGUAGGAAUCAGUCACGGCUAACUACGUGCCAGCAGCCGCGGUAAAACGUAGGUGGCGAGCGUUAUCCGGAAUCACUGGGCGUAAAGGGCAUCUAGGCGGCCCGGCCAGUCGCGUGUGAAAGCCCCCGGCUCAACUGGGGGAGGACGUGCGAAACUGCCGGGCUUGAGGGUCAGAGAGGGACGUGGAAUUCCCGGUGUAGUGGUGAAAUGCGUAGAGAUCGGGAGGAACACCCGUGGCGAAAGCGGCGUCCUGGCUGACCCCUGACGCUGAAGUGCGAAAGCGUGGGGAGCGAACGGGAUUAGAAACCCCUGUAGUCCG
rnacentral:rRNA from 1 species